GACGAACGCUGGCGGCGUGCUUAACACAUGCAAGUCGAACGGAAAGGCCCUGCUUUUGUGGGGUGCUCGAGUGGCGAACGGGUGAGUAACACGUGAGUAACCUGCCCUUGACUUUGGGAUAACUUCAGGAAACUGGGGCUAAUACCGGAUAGGAGCUCCUGCUGCAUGGUGGGGGUUGGAAAGUUUCGGCGGUUGGGGAUGGACUCGCGGCUUAUCAGCUUGUUGGUGGGGUAGUGGCUUACCAAGGCUUUGACGGGUAGCCGGCCUGAGAGGGUGACCGGCCAAAUUGGGACUGGGAUACGGCCAAGACUCCUACGGGAGGAAGCAGGGGGGAAUAUUGCACAAUGGGCGGAAGCCUGAUGCAGAAACGCCGCGUGCGGGAUGACGGCCUUCGGGUUGUAAACCGCUUUCGCCUGGGACGAAGCGUGAGUGACGGUAAUGGGUAAAGAAGCACCGGCUAACUACGUG
rnacentral:rRNA from 1 species